rnacentral:rRNA from 1 species
UACAGGGGGGGCAAGCGUUGUUCGGAAUUACUGGGCGUAAAGGGCCAGUAGGCGGCCAACUAAGUCCGACGUGAAAUCCCAAGGCUUAACCUUGGAACUGCGUCGGAUACUGGAUGGCUUGAAUUCGGGAGAGGGAUGCAGAAUUCCAGGUGUAGCGGUGAAAUGCGUAGAUAUCUGGAGGAACACCCGUGGCGAAAGCGGCGCGCUGGACCACUACUGACGCUGAGGAACGAAAGCUAGGGGAGCAAACAGG